CAGGGGUUUCCGCUUUCGGUUCUUCCUCAUUUUCUCUUGCUGCCGCAAUGUAAGAAGAGCCAUACGCCUCCCGCCAUGAUUCUGAGACCUCCACAGCGAUGUGGAACUUGCCGAAUAAUAUUUCAUUUUCUGGAUAUACCUCACUUUAUCUACUUGCUACAGAAGGGCAUCCUGCUUACUUUAAAGUUUUGGCAAUUAGGAAUAAAGCUGCUAUAAGCAUCCAGGGAAGUUUUGUGGCCUUGAGGAAGAUGAAGUCAGCAAUGAGAUGAACCUACAGAAACCUUUCUCCUCAAAAAUGCCAGUCACCCCAACCUUCAGCAGCCAGCACCCUGACCAGGCAGUGGUCAUCAACAUUGAAGCAAGACUUUCCACUAGCAAAAAGAUUACAACUUGUUGAAGGCUCAGAUGAUUCUUAGCAUUUUUUAGCAACAAAAAAUUU
rnacentral:lncRNA from 1 species